rnacentral:rRNA from 1 species
UGGUGGAGCGAUUUGUCUAGUUAAUUCCGAUAACGAACGAGACUCUGGCCUAUUAAAUAGUUCGCCGAUUCCGAUCUGUCGGCGUUAACUUCUUAGAGGGACAAGUGGCUUUUAGCCACGCGAGAUUGAGCAAUAACA